CAAGCUAGUCGGCUUUGGCUCUCUGGAGCUGUUAUGCCACAGAUUUAAUUUAAUUUAUCUUCUCCUUACAUUAAGUGGGUCCAAAGUUAUUUAUCAUCCAGAUCUGCCUUUGUUCGCAUAUUAGGACAGUCUUCUUUUUACUCGGUGUUAUCUGGAGUUCCUCAAGGCUCUACCUUGGGACCUCUCUUAUUUAAUGUUUUUAUUAAUGACAUUUGUGACAAAAUUAAGAUUUCCAAAUUUCUCUUAUUUGCUGAUGAUUUGAAACUAUAUUGUGAUAUAAAAUCGGUUAAUGACUGCAAAUUGCUUCAAGCAGAUAUUGAUUCUGUACAUCAGUGGUGCGAUGUUAACAAUAUGGAACUUAACAUUGAGAAAACCAAAAUUAUAUCUUUCACAGGGAAAACCAACAGUAACAGUGGUGAGAAUUUUUUAAUGGUUUUGGCAUAUCCCAUACAGAGUAAAUCAACAUCAUCAUAGGCUGAGUUUUCGAUCGGUCUAUUUUCCAAAUAAUUCAAUAUUUGUCCUAGAAGAAGGCUGGGGAGAUGUUUCUCCACCAUGCUUUCUUUUUCGAAUAUGGGUGGAUGGAGGAUAUGCUGGUCUGGAAAAACUUUCCUGUCCAGGUUGAAGAUGUGAUGAUAUGACUUCAGCCUGUUGAGUGCCUUCAGCUUCUUCAGUCAGAAUAGAUUCAGAUUCAUCUACUUCGGAAUUAAGGACAGAAUCUGGGAUGGAUAUAUUUAACUCUGUACUUGCAAACUGUAGAAAAGGGCUGAAAAAUGACAUCUGCUGGACCCAUGGCCAAGUUUUAUAUCUAUUCAGACUUUUCGCUGCUUGCCCUGUACGCGUCUUCUCAGCUCUUAGGUGUUUAGCAUAGCAAUCCCUUAGGUUUUUCCACUUCUUCUUCACCUCCUGACCUGUAAAGCACACAAGCAGAUAUCACCUAAGUGACAAAUGUUUUCGUUUAUAUUUUCUGCUUCAGGUUUCUAGCAACUGGUGACUCUUAUAGCACAAUAGGCCACAGCUUUCAGAUGGGAUUUUUUACAGUUAGUGGUAUUGUUAAGGAAGUAUGUGACACAAUUUGGAAACGUUUGCAGCCUAGUUACAUGCCUGAACCUACAAAAGAAAUGUGGGAAGAAACAAUAUUAGGUUUUAAUGAAACAUGGCAGUUUCCUAAUUGUAUUGGAAGUAUUGAUGGGAAACACAUUACCAUAAGUGCCCAAAUAAUUCUGGUUCAAACUAUUUUAGCUAUUUGAAAAAAUAUUCGAUUGUUUUAAUGGCUAUUGUUGACCACAAUUACAAAUUUAUUUGUAUAGACGUAGGUGGUUAUGGAAAGAAUAGUGAUGGUGGUAUUUUUGAAGCAUGGACUAUGGGGAGAAAGAUAGCUGAUGGAACAUAUAAUAUUCCAGCAGAUAGGUCCUUGCCUGGUCAGAACGCACUUACUCCUUGUGUGUUUAUAGGCGACGAAGCAUUUCCACUACGCCCAAAUAUAAUGCACCCCUUUCCAUACAGACAAUCAAGACAGGACUACAAAAAGGAGAUCUACAAUAAGCGACUCUGUUGAGCUUGAUGUGUUGUAGAAAAUGCGUUUGGAAUUUUAACUCAAAAGUGGAGGAUAUUUCUUAGGCCAAUUCAGGUAAAAGUGGAAACUACUAUAUGUAUUGUAAAGGCCACAUGCAUUCUACAUAAUUAUUUGCGUUCAAAAAACUCUGGUAUGAGGUUCGAGCACUUACUAGAACCUCAAGAAGCAGUAACAGAGUCUCUUGGAAACCUACAACUAGAAGGAAGAAGGGCAACUAAUUUAUCUGCUCAGAUACGUGAUAGAUUUGUUAACUAUUUCAAUACGUAAAAAGCUGUACUUUUACUCCAUUUAUUGUAGUCUUCUUCAUUAACAUAACAGACUGAUUUACAAGAGCAGUAUUUGUAUAUUAAGCAUUGUUGUCAUAAAAUAAAUAUGAAGAAAACUUAUUACAUAAGUGUUUAAGUAUUUACUUAACAUAAUUAACGUGUGUAAUUGUUCCGUUAAAGUGAUUUUGUAUACAACUAUGAAUAAUAGAUUAAAUAAUAAAUAAUUGAUGAAAAUAAAUGGAAAAUGUGUGAACUUACUGCUAGUUCCUAGCGAUCUGCCCAUUUGUUCCCAGACUUCAUCUUUCUUUUUUAUAUUCUUGUAAUCAGGAUGCGACAAAUUAAAUAAUUUUACUUCUUCAAUAAGUUGCCCUGUUGUACUCUUUGUUCAUGCUAACACACAAUGACGCGGGCAGCGAUCAAACUCGACAAACUGCAUCUGAUCGCCACCGCGGAGUAGAUCGCUGCACUGUCCGGAACGCUGCCCGCAAGAUCGCUGCCUGUCUGAAAGCAGGAAAUAUCUGACCGCUACAUCGCUCUGGUGUGCGGGAGCCUUUACAAUCGUAUCUUUGUUCAAAGGGACUUUGCCACAAUUGGCAACGCAGCAUUCCUUCUCAUAAUUCCAGUACACGAUCAUAAACGUAAGCAUGCGGACGUUUACUCACUGUAGCUCUUGCGAAAUGGAAACUGUCCAUUCAGUGCAUGUUCGUGUCAUGUGUGAACUGAGGCGUGUUGGUUGUGACUUGUUAAAAGUCCAUGGAAAUGAAGUUCUGCGCUGCCUUGAAAGGCAGUUCAGCAGUGGCAGCCAUCAAAACAAAGUAUCGUUCUACGAUGAACGUGGAAAGCGACCUCAGAACGGCCAUUUUAAAAGUACAGAGCAUUUACCUGGCAAGACGUAUUUUAUUUUGGAUGUUUUUAGAUUGACUGUUAAUUUAAAAUCUUGUAUUUGUUGCUGUCGUAAAUAAAUUAUUCAACACUUUUA